UCAUGUUGUUGUUUGGAGUGGACUUUCACAUGACCGAGUGUGUCAGUUCCAGUGUGAGGAAAGAUAUGAUGAAAACAGACGCAGACUCGAUACUAUAGUACUCAUGGCUUUAUUGCAGGAAUCUGUCAGUGCUCUUCUAGAGAGAAGAGGCUGGUUUGGUGACCGGGAAGAUUUCAGCGUAAUGCUUCAAUCCAGUCCAGUGCACAUCGAACUGUCAAACCCAAUCAAAGCCUUUACGUCGGACUCCUCACGUGACAUAAGCUUGUUGACCUUACAACUCUGGACUAAUUUGGUAAGUUAAUAUUAUGCGUGUGUACAUUGUU